rnacentral:rRNA from 1 species
UAGUAGCGGCGAGCGAGCGGGAAGAGCUCAAAUUUAUAAUCUGGCACCUUCGGUGUCCGAGUUGUAAUCUCUAGAAGUGUUUUCCGCGUUGGACCGCACACAAGUCUGUUGGAAUACAGCGGCAUAGUGGUGAAACCCCCGUAUAUGGUGCGGACGCCCAGCGCUUUGUGAUACACUUUCAAUGAGUCGAGUUGUUUGGGAAUGCAGCUCAAAUUGGGUGGUAAAUUCCAUCUAAAGCUAAAUAUUGGCGAGAGACCGAUAGCGAACAAGUACCGUGAGGGAAAGAUGAAAAGCACUUUGGAAAGAGAGUUAACAGUACGUGAAAUUGUUGGAAGGGAAACGCUUGAAGUCAGACUUGCUUGCCGGAGCUUGCUUCGGUUUGCAGGCCAGCAUCAGUUUUCCGGGGUGGAUAAUGACGGUUUGAAGGUAGCAGUCUCGGCUGUGUUAUAGCUUUCCGUUGGAUACAUCCUGGGGGACUGAGGAACGCAGCGUGCUUUUUGCGAAAGACUCGUCUUUUUCACGCUUAGGAUGCUGGUGGAAUGGCUUUAAACGACCCGCUGA